rnacentral:tRNA from 2 species
GCCCUGGUAGCUCAGAGGAUAGAGCAACUGCCUUCUAAGCAGUGGGUCGUGGGUUCGAUCCCCGCCCGGGGCACCA